rnacentral:rRNA from 1 species
AUUGAACGCUGGCGGAAUGCUUUACACAUGCAAGUCGAACGGCAGCACGGGGGCAACCCUGGUGGCGAGUGGCGAACGGGUGAGUAAUGUAUCGGAACGUGCCCGGUCGUGGGGGAUAACGUAGUGAAAAUUACGCUAAUACCGCAUACGAUCUACGGAUGAAAGCGGGGGAUCGCAAGACCUCGCGCGAUUGGAGCGGCCGAUAUCAGAUUAGGUAGUUGGUGGGGUAAAGGCUCACCAAGCCAACGAUCUGUAGCUGGUCUGAGAGGACGACCAGCCACACGGGAACUGAGACACGGUCCAGACUCCUACGGGAGGCAGCAGUGGGGAAUUUUGGACAAUGGGCGAAAGCCUGAUCCAGCCAUUCCGCGUGCAGGAUGAAGGCCUUCGGGUUGUAAACUGCUUUUGUACGGAGCGAAAAGGCUCUCUCUAAUACAGGGGGCUCAUGACGGUACCGUAAGAAUAAGCACCGGCUAACUACGUGCCAGCAGCCGCGGUAACAC